rnacentral:rRNA from 1 species
CCUACGGGAGGCAGCAGUGAGGAAUAUUGGUCAAUGGACGAAAGUCUGAACCAGCCAAGUAGCGUGAAGGAUGACUGCCCUAUGGGUUGUAAACUUCUUUUAUAUGGGAAUAAAAUGUUCCACGUGUGGGGUUUUGCAUGUACCAUAUGAAUAAGGAUCGGCUAAAUCCGUGCCAGCAGCCGCGGUAAUACGGAGGACCCGAGCGUUAUCCGGAUUCAUUGGGCUUAAAGGGAGCGUAGGCGGGUCGUCAAGUCAGUUGUGAAAGUUGGCGGCUCAACCGUUGAAUCGCAGUUGAAACUGGCAGCCUUGAGUACAGUAGAGGUGGGCGGAAUUCGUGGUGUAGCGGUGAAAUGCUUAGAUAUCACGAAGAACCCCGAUUGCGAAGGCAGUCUGCUGGACUGCAACUGACGCUGAGGCUCGAAGGUGUGGGUAGCAAACAGGAUUAGAUACCCGAGUAGUC